CAAACAUUCGGAGAUCAAGUAACGGGACAAAACUUUUCGACGGUUAUCAAUGAAAAAUCACUAUUUAACGGUUAUUGUAACUCCGAUUUUGAUGAUUUUUUUUACAGCUACACUCCUUGAUCCUAUGUGAAUACAAUGAAUGAACUUGAUAUUCAAUUUAGAAUAUUUACACUAGUGGAUACCACAAAAUCUUAUGUUAUACUUAAUGAAAGUAUGAAUAAACUCUUAAGUGUUAGUGAAUCUAUUGUUUUGAUGAGAUACGCAUUCUAUGAAACUAGUUUCAACAAUCCAACCGUCAAACAUAUUUGUAUAUACUUCGAGAUUGCAUACGCCAAAAAUUGCAAAAAACAAACAUUCAGAGAUCAAGUAACAAGACAAAACUUUUCAACGGUUACCAACAAAAAAUCACGAUUUAACGGUUAUUUUAACUCCGAUUUUGAUGAUUUUUACAACUACACUCUUUGACCCUAUAUGAAUACAAUGAAUAAAUUCGAUCUUCAAUUUAAAAUAUUUACACUAGUGAAUGCCACAAAUCUUAUGUCAUAAUGAUCAAUGAAAAUUGUGGAUUUUGUAAAAGGAAUAACAUGCAAGCUUUGAAUUCCAUUGGCAAGGUUUAAACUUUUGAGAAAGGCUUCACAACCUUGAAAACAAAAA
rnacentral:lncRNA from 1 species